rnacentral:misc_RNA from 1 species
AUGGGGAAGUGGGAAGGGUUAGUCAUGUGGCUGUUUCUACUAAUUUUUUAGCAAGAUUAAAAAAAAAAUGAGUAAUUUAUUGAGCUAGAGGCCAAUUAAUAUGUUAACUACUAAUUUGUUAAAUUUUGAAAUAAAUAAAUUUUCAAUAGGCUAAGUAUAUGUUUUUGGACUUAUGGAUUAUACAAGUUAAGUGUAAUUCAUGUACUGCAAACAGAAUCACACCACAAACCAAAUUUAGUUUACAUACUGCAUUCCAAAUUGGAGUACCAACUAAGCCUACCCACAUGUACCAAUGUAUCAUACAUCUAGAUAAGUGGCAUACCUUGCACCUGUACCCCGUACCAGG